GGGGGGAGGAGGAGGGACUGUGGCUGUAACUCACGCGUUGAGCUUGUCAUGAACAUGGCCAGUGGGAUUGUGGUCCUUAGGGCAUCGUAGGCCAGUUCAAGCAUUGUUGGAUUUUUUUUUUCGACAAGAACCAUUGUUGGAUUGGUUUUCCUAUGCAAACCCGACAGGAUAAGUACAGUGCGUGUUUGUUCUACCUAGCUACAUGUGCAUCUAUCCCUAAUACUUAAUUGUGAAAAUUUUAGUCUGCCUACUAUUUUUUUGUCCGUCACCGACCGGUUAUUUCCAUGGUUUGGGUCAACCGAUUUUUGGGCCUUUCGAUUUUGGGCUUGAUUGGGCGCUGAGCUGAUUGUCGGCCGUUCGAUUUGGACACGGUUCGGCGCUCAGCUGAUUGACAACACGCACGUACGCGUGCCCGACCGGCUGUCGACGGGACUCUGCCGCGGGACAACCAUGUGCGGACAACGAGAUAGCU
rnacentral:lncRNA from 1 species